rnacentral:tRNA from 1 species
AUUUUAGUAGCUUAAUUUUAAAGAGCUUUGUAUUGAAGAUACAACUGUAGGUUUUACCUCUAAAAUA